GUUGAAGAGCAUAAGUCCAUUGCCUCCAGUCCUCUCCAGAGUGAACCCCCUUUGGGUGCAGACCAGAAUCAUAGGCUGGAGAAGAGAAGAGAAGAGAAGAGAAGAGAAGAGAAGAGAAGAGAAGAGAAGAGGACUCUGUCAUGCACGCCAGGUGAAAAUGCAAGAACGAAAAAGUUCUCCCUCCCAUCCCUAUCAUGAGUUGAGUCUUCUUGAAACCUUCCUCAGAAGAUAUUGAUGCAGAGUUCUACAGUAUUAGUGUUGUUUCCAUAUUUUGCCUAAAGGGAAAUUUUGUUUUCUAUUACUUUUUGAAGAUGGCCCAUGAAUCCAACAAAUGAAGACAAAAACUGCAUUUGACACAAGAGGGGUUAUCAGCUUGUUAAAAAGAAAGGAAAUGGGUUACCAUUCACGUAUUUUAGAAUAAUUAUAGUAAAGUUUGACAUUUGCUAGUCUCUAUAGCAUCUACAUAGCUCCCGUGAGCCAACCCAGAGCUUGAUUCUACACCUUGACAUGACACAUUCCCACAUUCUAGGAAUCUGAGGGGAGUUUCCAGUAUUUAGAGAAAGCAGCUCUAGUUGCCACUAUCAAAUUAGAAAGUAAGACUUUUUUGCCAUUAGAAACUUGAUCUUUUAAGUCAAUUCCUAGGUUCCCAAAAUGUUUUGCUCUCAUAAAACAAUAGCAUGAGAUAUAUAUUUUUCCAACUUCCCAAGUCUACCAGCUACAGAGGACAUCACUGUUAAUUUUUGCAAAUUUCACCAGAGAUUGGAGAUCUCAUGGUUUAUUCUUGGCACUUGGGCUGGUGUUUGAUUCCAUUGCACUAUCGCAAGCAUAGGCAACCUUGGCCCUCCAGAUGUUUUGGGACUACAUCUCCCAUCAUCCCUAGCUAAUAGGACCAGUGGUCAGGGAUGAUGGGAAUUGUAGUCCCAAAACAUCUGGAGGGCUGAGUUUGCCUAUGCCUGCACUAUCGUCUUAAAUAACUUUUAAAGUAGUGAAGAAGCUGCAGUAUAUGUGUUUAUCUUUGUUUCAAGGUGAAACCAUUCUUCCAUCAGUCUGGUGACUGGGUUGCCCACCUGUUCGCAUAAUCUGGAUUUUCUUAAUCUAGAUAUAAUAGGACCUGAUAUAUUAGUGCUAACAUCCUCUUAGUGACUGAGAUCAGGAGGUGUUCAAAGCAGGCCUCUGUUGUCAUUAAAUUCAUAUCUUAUCUGCCCCUACAAAAUGUGGUGAUUAUGCAAUUUUUCUUUACCUAUUCAUUUCAAAAGGUUGACCUCACAUUUCUUGACAAAGUUGCUCGUAUGGUUUUAGAGCUGGAUGAGCCUGUCAAGUUUAGUUUCUGUAAAUUUCUUUCUCUCCCCCUAUUUUAAGUUCAAUUCUCACAAUUUCCACAUCUGUUUGGAUCGUACCCAUUUUGUAAGCUUUUUGUGUGCAUCCUUCCGCUAAACCGCCCAUUUGUGUAUGCUUUCCAAUGGACCCCUCUCUCAAAUAUGAAUUCAUGUCCCUCCAUAAAUAUGCAGUUUUUGUGUGAACUGAAACUGCAUUGCAAAACUGAGAAGAGUGCAUUAUCUGAUUGAUAGAUGCAUCCCAAUCUACAUAUAAAUUUAGCACUGGGGGAGUUAGGUUGGUUUGCUUCAAAAUGUAGACCAAACAAAUUUCUCCUCCAACUCUCUUUUUGUCCAGUUGGGAGUUUGAUGCUGUGGAAGAAAUGUCUCUCACUGUGCACUGAGUGAAACUGACAAUUGGAUCUGGGAGUAGAGUUGCCGCUGCAUUUUGCCUGCAGUGAAAUUUUAAGGUGAAGCUGUGGAAUUAAACGGGAAAGAGCUGUGGAAUUGCACAGGAAAGGG
rnacentral:lncRNA from 1 species